AUUGAACGCUGGCGGCAUGCCUUACACAUGCAAGUCGAACGGUAACAGGUUAAGCUGACGAGUGGCGAACGGGUGAGUAAUGUAUCGGAACGUGCCCAGUUGUGGGGGAUAACUGCUCGAAAGAGCAGCUAAUACCGCAUACGACCUGAGGGUGAAAGCGGGGGAUCGCAAGACCUCGCGCAAUUGGAGCGGCCGAUAUCAGAUUAGGUAGUUGGUGGGGUAAAGGCUCACCAAGCCGACGAUCUGUAGCUGGUCUGAGAGGACGACCAGCCACACUGGGACUGAGACACGGCCCAGACUCCUACGGGAGGCAGCAGUGGGGAAUUUUGGACAAUGGGCGCAAGCCUGAUCCAGCCAUGCCGCGUGCGGGAAGAAGGCCUUCGGGUUGUAAACCGCUUUUGUCAGGGAAGAAACGCUCUGGGUUAAUACCUUUGGAGAUUGAUGUUACCUGCAGAAUAAGCACCGGCUAACUCCGUGCCAGCCGCCGCCGUAA
rnacentral:rRNA from 1 species